AUUGAACGCUGGCGGCAUGCCUAACACAUGCAAGUCGAGCGAGCGGCGGACGGGUGAGUAAUGUAUGGGGACUGCCCGAUAGAGGGGGAUAACUACUGGAGACGGUAGCUAAUACCGCAUACUAUCGGAUAACCCAUAUGGGAUGAGCUAGUAGGUUGGGUAAUGGCUCACCUAGGCGACGAUCCCUAGCUGGUCUGAGAGGAUGAUCAGCCACACUGGGACUGAGACACGGCCCAGACUCCUACGGAGGCAGCAGUGGGGAAUAUUGGACAAUGGGCGCAAGCCUGAUGCAGCCAUGCCGCGUGUAUGAAGAAGGCCUUAGGGUUGUAAAGUACUGUCAGUCGGGAGGCGUUACCGACAGAAGAAGCACCGGCUAACUCCGUGCCAGCAGCCGCGGUAAUUC
rnacentral:rRNA from 1 species